rnacentral:rRNA from 1 species
GACGAACGCUGGCGGCGUGCCUAAUACAUGCAAGUUGAGCGCUGAAGGUUGGUACUUGUACCGACUGGAUGAGCAGCGCACGGGUGAGUAACGCGUGGGGAAUCUGCCUUUGAGCGGGGGACAACAUUUGGAAACGAAUGCUAAUACCGCAUAAAAACUUUAAACACAAGCUUUAAGUUUGAAAGAUGCAAUUGCAUCACUCAAAGAUGAUCCCGCGUUGUAUUAGCUAGUUGGUGAGGUAAAGGCUCACCAAGGCGAUGAUACAUAGCCGACCUGAGAGGGUGAUCGGCCAAAUUGGGACUGAGACACGGCCCAAACUCCUACGGGAGGCAGCAGUAGGGAAUCUUCGGCAAUGGACGAAAGUCUGACCGAGCAACGCCGCGUGAGUGAAGAAGGUUUUCGGAUCGUAAAACUCUGUUGGUAGAGAAGAACGUUGGUGAGAGUGGAAAGCUCAUCAAGUGACGGUAACUACCCAGAAAGGGACGGCUAACUACGUG